rnacentral:lncRNA from 1 species
ACAACUUGAACUGUUUUGUCGUCAACCACAUAUGGAUGUAUCUUUCACCAUCACUUAGUUGCCGACAAUUCAUAAAACAUUACAUAAACACACUGUUGUUAGUUGUGACACCAGAAUCUAUCCAACAUAUGUGUGUCUACAUACUAAAGUUAAAUCAACCUGAAAACAAACCAAAUGCAUUCCCUUAACACGUCAUGUUUGACAGUAAAGUAAUCCUUCUUUACCCUUUAGCUCCACAAAAGAAACAGCUAUUGUUACCUGAUUUAAAUUAUUUAUGUUGUUGUUCCUUUUGAGGCAUUGUAUCCGCAGCUUAUCCUUAUACUUUAUUGAAUUAAGGUUUUCCAAAAGCAUAGUAUAUCAAACUUUUCGUUAUUGAAAAACCUCUUUUCAAAUUUCCUUAAUGAAAACUGUUACCGUAUUUAUCUUUUCAAAUAGUUUGCCCUAGAAUGUUCCCAUAGUGGCAUUUCUUAUGAUCAUCGAACAUAUGCAAUUUGACCUCUCCCACCUUCCAAUUUCCCUCUUUUGUUUAGAGGUACUCUCAUCCGUACGAGGUGAGGGAGAAUCAGUCCUUAAUGCAACGUCGAGAUCCAUACUUCAAGAACUAUCAAAAGAUUUACUUUCUAGAACUUGAAGUUUGAGCCAUUUAACUAAAUUGACG